rnacentral:SRP_RNA from 1 species
GAGCUUGGUCCCAUGCAGCAGAAACUCAUGAAAUCCGUCAGGUCCGGAAGGAAGCAGCGGUAAAUGAUACUUUCUGUGUGCCGUGGAAUAACCUAGUUUGAGU